UACGUAGGGUGCAAGCGUUAAUCGGAAUUACUGGGCGUAAAGCGUGCGCAGGCGGUUUUGUAAGUCUGUCGUGAAAUCCCCGGGCUCAACCUGGGAAUUGCGAUGGAGACUGCAAGGCUAGAAUCUGGCAGAGGGGGGUAGAAUUCCACGUGUAGCAGUGAAAUGCGUAGAGAUGUGGAGGAACACCGAUGGCGUAGGCAGCCCCCUGGGUCAAGAUUGACGCUCAUGCACGAAAGCGUGGGGAGCAAACAGG
rnacentral:rRNA from 1 species